GACGAACGCUGGCGGCGUGCUUAACACAUGCAAGUCGAACGGAAAGGCCCUGCUUUUGUGGGGUGCUCGAGUGGCGAACGGGUGAGUAACACGUGAGUAACCUGCCCUUGACUUUGGGAUAACUUCAGGAAACUGGGGCUAAUACCGGAUAGGAGCUCCUGCUGCAUGGUGGGGGUUGGAAAGUUUCGGCGGUUGGGGAUGGACUCGCGGCUUAUCAGCUUGUUGGUUGGGUAGUGGCUUACCAAGGCUUUGACGGGUAGCCGGCCUGAGAGGGUGACCGGCCACAUUGGGACUGAGAUACGGCCCAGACUCCUACGGGACGCAGCAGUGGGGAAUAUUGCACAAUGGGAGGAAGCCUGAUGCAGCAACGCCGCGUGCGGGAUGACGGCCUUCGGGUUGUAUACCGAUUUCGCCUGUGACGAAGCGUGAGUGACGGUAAUGGGUAAAGAAGCACCGGCUAACUACGUG
rnacentral:rRNA from 1 species